AACAAUUUUAGGGGAAGCAGGUGAAGAAGGUGUACCAAUUCAGGUUGAUGGAGAAGCCUGGACGCAACCUCCUGGAAUCGUUAGGAUUGUUCACAAGAAUAGAGUUCAAAUGCUUUGUAGAAAUAGGGAUUUGGAAGUUUCCCUAAAGGCCUGGGAAGAAAAGCAGAGGAGUAUAGGAAAUCAGACAAAGCAGCCAACAUUGUUAGCAGAUGAGGAAUUGCCUAUUCUUGCAAUCCUUGCUUUGACGGUUGGAGAAGUUAUAAGUAGUGUACAGAUGGCAGCUAUAAAUACCCCAAACUUAGAAACUACUCUAACAGAUUUGGUAUCAUCAGCUCA